CAUGCAAGUCGAACGGGAAACCUUUUAUUGAAGCUUCGGCAGAUUUAGCUGGUUUCUAGUGGCGGACGGGUGAGUAACGCGUGGGUAACCUGCCUUAUACAGGGGGAUAACAGUCAGAAAUGGCUGCUAAUACCGCAUAAGCGCACAGAGCUGCAUGGCUCAGUGUGAAAAACUCCGGUGGUAUAAGAUGGACCCGCGUUGGAUUAGCUGGUUGGUGGGGUAACGGCCCACCAAGGCGACGAUCCAUAGCCGGCCUGAGAGGGUGAACGGCCACAUUGGGACUGAGACACGGCCCAGACUCCUACGGGAGGCAGCAGUGGGGAAUAUUGCACAAUGGGGGAAACCCUGAUGCAGCGACGCCGCGUGAAGGAAGAAGUAUCUCGGUAUGUAAACUUCUAUCAGCAGGGAAGAUAAUGACGGUACCUGACUAAGAAGCCCCGGCUAACUACGUGCCAGCAGCCGCGGUAAUACGUAGGGGGCAAGCGUUAUCCGGAUUUACUGGGUGUAAAGGGAGCGUAGACGGUGUGGCAAGUCUGAUGUGAAAGGCAUGGGCUCAACCCGUGGACUGCAUUGGAAACUGUCAUACUUGAGUGCCGGAGGGGUAAGCGGAAUUCCUAGUGUAGCGGUGAAAUGC
rnacentral:rRNA from 1 species